rnacentral:rRNA from 1 species
UCCGUAGGUGAACCUGCGGAAGGAUCAUUACAGAAAGUAAACGCGGAUCAAACCGCGAACUUCUAAACCUUUGACGAUCGACUCAUGUUGCCUCGGCGGGUUAUCCCGCCAGAGGAUACAUCAAAACUCCUGUUUUAACGGUGUUGUCUGAGCUACAAGCAAUGAAUCAAAACUUUCAACAACGGAUCUCUUGGUUCUGGCAUCGAUGAAGAACGCAGCGAAAUGCGAUAAGUAGUGUGAAUUGCAGAAUUCAGUGAAUCAUCGAAUCUUUGAACGCACAUUGCGCCCCUUGGUAUCCCGAGGGGCGUGCCUGUUCGAGCGUCAUUUCACCACUCAAGCCUGGCUUGGUGUUGGGCGACGUCCCCUUUAGGGACACGCCUCGAAACGCUCGGCGGCGUGGCACCGGCUUUAAGCGUAGCAGAAUCUUUCGCUUUGGAAGUCGGGGCCCCGUCUGCCGGAAGACCUACUCGUAAGGUUGACCUCGGAUCAGGCAGGGAUACCCGCUGAACUUAAGCAUAUCAAUAAGCGGAGGA